rnacentral:rRNA from 1 species
CAUGGUUGUCGUCAGCUCGUGCCGUGAGGUGUCGGGUUAAGUCCCAUAACGAGCGCAACCCCUACCCUUUAGUUGCCAUCAGGUUAAGCUGGGGACUCUAAAGGAACUGCCUACGCAAGUAGUGAGGAAGGCGGGGAUGACGUCAAAUCAGCACGGCCCUUACGUCCAGGGCUACACACGUGCUACAAUGGCCGAUACAGAGGGCAGCUACCUGGUGACAGGAUGCAAAUCUCCAAAGUCGGUCUCAGUUCGGAUCGGAGUCUGCAACCCGACUCCGUGAAGUUGGAUUCGCUAGUAAUCGCGCGUCAGCCAUGGCGCGGUGAAUACGUUCCCGGGCCUU